UAGAGUUUGAUCAUGGCUCAGGACGAACGCUGGCGGCGUGCCUAAUACAUGCAAGUCGAACGAGACUUUUUAUUUGAUGCUUGCAUCUUUUAAAAAGUUGAGUGGCGAACGGGUGAGUAACACGUGGGUAACCUGCCUUAAAGUGGGGGAUAACACUUGGAAACAGGUGCUAAUACCGCAUAACCAUCAAAACCGCCUGGUUUUGAUGUUAAAGAUGGUUCUGCUAUCGCUUUAAGAUGGACCCGCGGCGUAUUAGCUAGUUGGUGAGGUAACGGCUUACCAAGGCAAUGAUACGUAGCCGAACUGAGAGGUUGAUCGGCCACAUUGGGACUGAGACACGGCCCAAACUCCUACGGGAGGCAGCAGUAGGGAAUCUUCCACAAUGGACGAAAGUCUGAUGGAGCAACGCCGCGUGAGUGAAGAAGGUUUUCGGAUCGUAAAACUCUGUUGUCAGAGAAGAACGUGUGUGAGAGUAACUGUUCACGCAGUGACGGUAUCUGACCAGAAAGUCACGGCUAACUACGUGCCAGCAGCCGCGGUAAUACGUAGGUGGCAAGCGUUGUCCGGAUUUAUUGGGCGUAAAGGGAACGCAGGCGGUCUUUUAAGUCUGAUGUGAAAGCCUUCGGCUUAACCGAAGUCGGGCAUUGGAAACUGGGAGACUUGAGUGCAGAAGAGGAGAGUGGAACUCCAUGUGUAGCGGUGAAAUGCGUAGAUAUAUGGAAGAACACCAGUGGCGAAAGCGGCUCUCUGGUCUGUAACUGACGCUGAGGUUCGAAAGCGUGGGUAGCAAACAGGAUUAGAUACCCUGGUAGUCCACGCCGUAAACGAUGAAUGCUAAGUGUUGGAGGGUUUCCGCCCUUCAGUGCCGCAGCUAACGCAUUAAGCAUUCCGCCUGGGGAGUACGACCGCAAGGUUGAAACUCAAAGGAAUUGACGGGGGCCCGCACAAGCGGUGGAGCAUGUGGUUUAAUUCGAAGCAACGCGAAGAACCUUACCAGGUCUUGACAUC
rnacentral:rRNA from 1 species